AUGUGCCAUGCGGUAGGGCUAUGGGGUGCGUGGAGUGCACAUUGUGGCCGACACCAGUGAGUUCCUGAGCGCUACCCCACUGCAGGUACUGGGGAGCACCUGGAGGGAUUGAGGGAAAUCGGGGAUCUGGCCCAUGCUGAUGGUGCUGCCUGCAGGACAUCACCCAGAACUUGUACAUCGUGACUGAGGUGCUGGCCGAGAUCCGGGACCAUCCAACGUGUCGUUGCCUGGCCGCACUGCACUACGAGAUGCGCCUCCGAUGACCGGGGCCCAAUCUCUUACUCCUUGAAUAACCUUAUUGUGAAGGUGCCACCAUACCAUGACCAGCAAAUAACCUCAGCUGUUUCUGUGGGAAUAUAUGUGGUAACCAAUGCUGGAAGAUCGCACGAUGUGCAACCAUUUACGUACACUCCAGACACAUGUAUGUGAAAUAGAAAACUGGAGGAA